CCUACGGGCGGCAGCAGUGGGGAAUAUUGGACAAUGGGCGAAAGCCUGAUCCAGCCAUGCCGCGUGUGUGAAGAAGGCCUUCGGGUUGUAAAGCACUUUCAGUGGGGAAGAAAGCCUUGGGGCUAAUACCCUCGAGGAAGGACAUCACCCACAGAAGAAGCACCGGCUAACUCCGUGCCAGCAGCCGCGGUAAUACGGAGGGUGCGAGCGUUAAUCGGAAUUACUGGGCGUAAAGCGCGCGUAGGCGGUCUGAUAAGCCGGUUGUGAAAGCCCCGGGCUCAACCUGGGAACGGCAUCCGGAACUGUCAGGCUAGAGUGCAGGAGAGGAAGGUAGAAUUCCCGGUGUAGCAGUGAAAUGCGUAGAGAUCGGGAGGAAUACCAGUGGCGAAGGCGGCCUUCUGGACUGACACUGACGCUGAGGUGCGAAAGCGUGGGUAGCAAACAGGAUUAGAUACCCGAGUAGUC
rnacentral:rRNA from 1 species